UUAGGUAGUCAACAAAGAAACAUUCAGAACCUGACACGUAAACCUGGAGCUCCAUGAGAAAGGAACUGCUGACUCGACAGGUUCAUCUGCUGACAGUCUUGCUAACGCUAGCUGACAGAGGCUAGUGCAGCUAAGUUAGCAUGCAUUUAAGGUCUCGUAUUCUGUCAAUACCACCGUUAAAAACAGCACAUUAAAGCUUCAAGUGAUUCCUCGCUUUGACAUGAUCAAAA